GAAGAGAGAGUUAAAGAGCACGUGAAACCGAUAAGAUUGAAACGGAUAGAGCCGACGUAUCUGGCCUGUGUUCAGCCGGUUGGUCGUCUUAUGUUGGCUUGCUAAUCCGGCUUUUGAUUAGUUAGCUAGCGCUAAUGCGGCUAUACUGGUGCACUUGCAGCUGGCUGCGCCGAAGCUCGUACUAUGCAUUUGCUGAAUUUUUGUUUAGAGGCCUCAACAGGUUGGGAAACUUAAACUUCAAUAAAGCUGUGUAUAGUACGCCAGCUAUUGUUCCACGACUAACAGUUUAGCUUGCGAUUGGUUCUUACUUGGAUUAUGGUCGCAUGUGACUGUGUUUCGGUGGCAACUAGUUGUUGGUUAAGCUUCGUGGAAAGCUUAGGUGUAAAAGUCUGUCAUCUAUCCGACCCGUCUUGAAACACGGACCAAGGAGUUUAACGAGUGUGCAAGUUAUUGAGUCUAAAAACUUAGUAGCGCAAUGAAAGUAAAAGCUUUGUUGACAAGCUUAUAUGCGAUCCCUUUCGUUUCGACUAUUGGGAGUAGCAUAGCCCCGUCUCGACUGCUCGCAGUGGGGCGGAGGAAGAGCAUACUCGUUGAGACCCGAAAGAUGGUGAACUAUGCCUGAGCAGGACGAAGCCAGAGGAAACUCUGGUGGAAGUCCGAAGCGGUUCUGACGUGCAAAUCGAUCGUCUGACUUGGGUAUAGGGGCGAAAGACUAAUCGAACUAUC
rnacentral:rRNA from 1 species